GUUGCAUGGGAGGAUUGCUUUCACGUUUUUCAUAAUCUAGGAUUAAGCUGAUCUGCUUAGUGCUUUCAAACAAUUUACUCCUGAGAUUUAAUAUCAGCUAGCAUAAAAUGCAUUUAACAGAUUCGUACAAUAUCCCAGUCUCGCAAUUUUUAUCAAAUUUUCCCAAUUUAGCAAAUAUCGAUACAUUUACAAAUGUACUGUUUUUAAUGGAAUAGUUCUCUGUCUUUAUUUGUGAGAGUUGGUGCAUAAUAUAAUCAAAUUAAAACGUACUGUCGUACAUCUAUUGGUGUCACAAUUAAAAGGAAUUACUUUAAUGAUAUUACACCUGUGAAUACAUCCCAGCCUUCAGGUAAGAAAUGUUCUUACUGUAAAUGGAAACUCCCUUGGCAUUACAUUAGUCAUUACAUUAAAUAAAUGUAGCUUUCAUAAACAAGUUUUUUUCACAAACUCAAUAUACUGAGUCUGAGGGUACAAUACAAUUUGAUGUAUUAAAUAAAUAUUGAAUGAUGUGUUGCCUAUUGGUGAAUUUUAUAAGGGUUGGGAGAAGCAUGUGUGCAAGGUUUUAUUUUUUGAAUUCUGAAACAACAUGAAAAUAGUGAAACUUAGUCUUCAUUAUAGCAUUAACUAGC